rnacentral:rRNA from 1 species
AUACGGAGGAUCCGAGCGUUAUCCGGAUUUAUUGGGUUUAAAGGGAGCGUAGGUGGAUUGUUAAGUCAGUUGUGAAAGUUUGCGGCUCAACCGUAAAAUUGCAGUUGAAACUGGCAGUCUUGAGUACAGUAGAGGUGGGCGGAAUUCGUGGUGUAGCGGUGAAAUGCUUAGAUAUCACGAAGAACUCCGAUUGCGAAGGCAGCUCACUGGACUGUUACUGACACUGAUGCUCGAAAGUGUGGGUAUCAAACAGGAUUAGAUACCCUGGUAGUCCACACAGUAAACGAUGAAUACUCGCUGUUUGCGAUAUACAGUAAGCGGCCAAGCGAAAGCAUUAAGUAUUCCACCUGGGGAGUACGCCGGCAACGGUGAAACUCAAAGGAAUUGGCGGGG